AGCGAACGUUAGCGGCGGGCCUAACACAUGCAAGUCGAGCGAGAAAGGGCUUCGGCCCUGAGUAAAGCGGCGGACGGGUGAGUACUACGUAGGUAACCUCCCUUCGAGCGGGGGACAACGGUCCGAAAGGACCGCUAAUACCGCAUACGUUCCCGAGGACUCCGGUCCACGGGAGGAAAGCUAGGGUAGCAAUACUCCGGCACUCGAAGCGGGGCCUACGCCGCAUCAGCUAGUUGGUGGGGUAAUGGCCUACCAAGGCAAAGACGCGUAGCUGGUCUGAGAGGAUGAUCAGCCACACUGGGACCUGAGACACGGCCCAGACUCCUACGGGAGGCAGCAGUGGGGAAUAUUGGACAAUGGGGGAAACCCUGAU
rnacentral:rRNA from 1 species